UACGAAGGGUGCAAACGUUGCUCGGAAUUAUUGGGCGUAAAGCGCGUGUAGGCGGCCAGAUAGGUCUGCUGUGAAAACUCGAGGCUCAACCUCGAGCUGUCGGCGGAAACCAUCCAGCUAGAGUCCGGGAGAGGAGAGUGGAAUUCCUGGUGUAGCGGUGAAAUGCGCAGAUAUCAGGAAGAACACCCGUGGCGAAAGCGGCUCUCUGGAACGGUACUGACGCUGAGACGCGAAAGCGUGGGGAGCGAACAGG
rnacentral:rRNA from 1 species